UUUAAAAAAAAGGGGGUUUAUUUCUUCCAUUUCUCAGAAAAAGAAUAUUUUCAGGCAAACCGAACAGGUUUGAACUGUUGGAACCUGGAUUGAUUUAUCUGACAUGUUAACGCUGGGACUUCUGGAAACAUCCUUGAUGUUCAGCAGCCCCUAAGAGGAAAGCAUAAGUUACAGACUUUCUGAUAGCACCCGUGAAGAAAAACCAAAGUCCUGUGGUGGUAAUGCAUGCACGUUCAAUGUCUUCAUUGUAGAGUGUUCUUCAGUGCCUUAUAUCAUGGUUUCAAAAUACAUACACACACACAUAUAUAUAUGUAUAUGUAAAUCCAAAAUACCAUUUGGAAUGUCAACAUUCAGUGGGCUUUGAGGAGAUGUAGCAGCACAUCAUGGUUUGUAGGGACAAGGAGAUACAGACCAUUCUGGGCUGCCUCAUUACCUCAAGGAUAAGACAAGAAAGUGAGCUUCUGGUUAUCAUAGAGGUGGGAGCUAACACGUUCCCAUGUAUCUCUUUAGUUGGGUUGAACAGGUACGUGUAGAUCAGCUCUCUUGGUGCUUGUGUCUGUGCGCAUCCUCUGCAGCUCCAAAUACGUUCCCUAUGAGCUCGGGUGGCCGUGCGUGUCUCAGCGGGGCUGGCCCCGCAGGCAGGGAGCACUCAAGGCUCAUUUUUGUCCUCCAGCGUGGGCACAACCAACGUUGGGAGGGUGCCUUCAGCUGGUGCCUCACCUCUUGCUUUCCCCAGCAAAGGAUCAGCCCAGGUACUCUUGCCCUGUGGUUUUGGGGGGGGGGAGAUAGGUUUGGGGGUUUGGGGGCCGUGGCGAUGGACAGCUGUCAGCAGUGCUCUAGCAGCACGGAAAUACUGGAGUUGGGGAUUGCCUGCUGCUCUCCAGUAUUGCAUUGCUGCUUUAGUGAGGCUGGAAAUCGGUCCCUGCUGCAGGAGCCGGGCUCUGCUGCUGUGCCGGGGGGGGGGGGGCUCUCGGCUCCCACCCCAAUAAAUCACUGCGGAGGCAGGAACCA